rnacentral:rRNA from 1 species
CCUACGGGAGGCAGCAGUGAGGAAUAUUGGUCAAUGGACGAGAGUCUGAACCAGCCAAGUAGCGUGAAGGAUGACUGCCCUAUGGGUUGUAAACUUCUUUUAUAUGGGAAUAAAUUGUUCCACGUGUGGGCUUUUGUAUGUACUUUAUGAAUAAGGAUCGGCUAACUCCGUGCCAGCAGCCGCGGUAAUACGGAGGAUCCGAGCGUUAUCCGGAUUUAUUUGGUUUAAAGGGAGCGUAGAUGGGUUGUUAAGUCAGUUGUGAAAGUUUGCGGCUCAACCGUACAAUUGCAAUUGAUACUGGCAGUCUUGAGUACAGUUGAGGUAGGCGGAAUUCGUGGUGUAGCGGUGAAAUGCUUAGAUAUCACGAAGAACUCCGAUUGCGAAGGCAGCUUACUAAACUGCCACUGACAUUGAGGCUCGAAAGUGUGGGUAUCAAACAGGAUUAGAUACCCGGGUAGUC